rnacentral:rRNA from 1 species
AUUGAACGCUGGCGGAAUGCUUUACACAUGCAAGUCGAACGGCAGCACGGGUGCUUGCACCUGGUGGCGAGUGGCGAACGGGUGAGUAAUACAUCGGAACGUACCCAGUUAUGGGGGAUAACUAACCGAAAGGUUAGCUAAUACCGCAUACGCCCUGAGGGGGAAAGCGGGGGACCGUAAGGCCUCGCGUAAUUGGAGCGGCCGAUGUCUGAUUAGCUAGUUGGUGAGGUAAAGGCUCACCAAGGCGACGAUCAGUAGCAGGUCUGAGAGGAUGAUCGGCCACACGGGAACUGAGACACGGCCCAGACUCCUGCGGGAGGCAGCGGUGGGGAAUUUUGGACAAUGGGCGAAAGCCUGAUCCAGCCAUUCCGCGUGAGUGAAGAAGGCCUUCGGGUUGUAAAGCUCUUUCGGCAGGGAAGAAACGCUCUGGGAUAAUACUCCGGGGUAAUGACGGUACCUGAAGAAGAAGCACCGGCUAACUACGUGCCAGCCGCCGCGGUAA